AUGAGGAGACGGCGGACACGCCUCAUCGGCAACUCGCCGACGACGGUAGGGCAUGGAGGCGGGAGAGCGACGACCUUCCAUGGUCUCAAGCGCGGGGACACGGUGGUGGCCUCGAGCGCGGAGAAGACAUGGAGGUUUCAACUAGAGAAGGUAGUUGGGUUUGAUGCUGCUUCUGAUCCAGAUCAUCUCGACUUGGAGCCGCCGCAUGGGGGAUCAACUAGGGUGCGCCCACUGCCCCCUCCCUCCCCCCCGCAUACUGAAAAAUGUGUGUUGUGCAUGGAAAUAGAGAUUUCAGAAAUGUUAGAGACAAUCUUAGUUGAUUGA
rnacentral:rRNA from 1 species